rnacentral:rRNA from 1 species
AGUGAACGCUGGCGGUAGGCCUAACACAUGCAAGUCGAACGGCAGCACAGUAAAAGCUUGCUCUUACGGGUGGCGAGUGGCGGACGGGUGAGGAAUACAUCGGAAUCUACUUUUUCGUGGGGGAUAACGUAGGGAAACUUACGCUAAUACCGCAUACGACCUACGGGUGAAAGCAGGGGAUCUUCGGACCUUGCGCGAUUGAAUGAGCCGAUGUCGGAUUAGCUAGUUGGCGGGGUAAAGGCCCACCAAGGCGACGAUCCGUAGCUGGUAUGAGAGGAUGAUCAGGCACACUGGAACUGAGAAACAGUCCAGACUCCGACAGGAGGCAGCAGUGGGGAAUAUUGGACGAUGGGGGCAAGCCUGAUCCAGCCAUACCGCGUGGGUGCAGAAGGCGUUCGGGUUGGAAAGUCCUUUUGUUGGGAAAGAAAAGCAGCAGGUUAAUCCCCCGCUGUUCUGACGGUACCCAAAGAAUAAGCACCGGCUAACUUCGUG